rnacentral:rRNA from 1 species
CCUACGGGUGGCAGCAGUGGGGAAUAUUGGACAAUGGGGGGAACCCUGAUCCAGCCAUGCCGCGUGUGUGAAGAAGGCCCUCGGGUUGUAAAGCACUUUCAGUGAGGAAGAACGCCUGGUGGUUAAUACCCAUCAGGAAAGACAUCACUCACAGAAGAAGCACCGGCUAACUCCGUGCCAGCAGCCGCGGUAAUACGGAGGGUGCGAGCGUUAAUCGGAAUUACUGGGCGUAAAGCGCGCGUAGGUGGCUUGAUAAGCCGGUUGUGAAAGCCCCGGGCUCAACCUGGGAACGGCAUCCGGAACUGUCAAGCUAGAGUGCAGGAGAGGAAGGUAGAAUUCCCGGUGUAGCGGUGAAAUGCGUAGAGAUCGGGAGGAAUACCAGUGGCGAAGGCGGCCUUCUGGACUGACACUGACACUGAGGUGCGAAAGCGUGGGUAGCAAACAGGAUUAGAUACCCUAGUUC